ACUGCUUCCAGCAGCACAGAAAUGCUGCUGCUGUCUUCCUCAACAAAGCACUUCUUAACUAGUUCGCUUAUUUCGCUGCUUAUUGUUUCCAAGGAAAGAGUAUGAGUUACUGUCGAAAGACCCCUGAUCCUCAAGCCUUACGCGGGAGGCUAAGUGUAGCGAUUCUCGUUGAAUCUCCACUUAUUUGUAAGUGAAUUAACUCAAAACAUGGAAUGAUGAAACUGACACCAAAGCAAGAAUAUCUGAAUCCCUAUUUAGCCCUCAGAUGCUGCUGUCCUGGCCCAGCCUGAUCACCUCUGAUGUCCAUGCGGUAUGAAAGUAUCAUCAUGGAAUCGGUGUAAGACUGAAACAUCACCAGACAGAAAUCAAGUUGCAGUUCUUUCAGACUUGAAAUGCAUGACCCGCAUCAUCUAUGUGCAAGAGGAAUCAGGAAAAGAGAGGUGCUGAAGCAUCUGCUGGCAGAAGAAAAGAGUUAUCUAAGGAUACUGGCUUGGAGGGUUUUUCAGCAAGUGAACCACUGAAGGAAAAUGACAUUUACCCCACCCAGGUUGAACAGACAAGCCAGGGAAAGCUGAGCAGAAAUGGAAAACGGAUCAUGCAUCAGGAAAAGCAGAGACAUCAAGAGAGACAGAGACAACAGUGUGUCUCCGUUACUCCAGAAUUCCCACAGAACAAUCUGGUAUCUCUGGACAAUUCAGUGGACCAGACUAUACUCAACAGACAGAUAGAGGUGGAGGAUGUUAUUUUAAGACCUCAGGUAAAAGUAAUGAAGCACAACGUGUCCAUCAGUGAUGAAUCUCAAACCCUCAAUUAUAUAAGAAACAGGUAAACUUAGUUUUGUGUACUUUGUACACAGUUCCCUAGGGACACAGUGGCUCUGUCAAUUACCAGGCUAAUUAAUAGUAGCUAUGGAGUCCUUCAGCCUGAGGUUUUAGCCUCCACCCUCUUUCUUUGAGUUUUUCUUGCUGAAUUUGAAAUUAUUCAGGCAUUAAUUUCUCUGCGUCAUACAAGUAAAUAUCAGCUUUACAUCAGGGUGACAAUGACAGGCAUUCACUGAAGCCUUAAAACACAACUGCUGUAUCAAAUAAAAGCUUAGCCAAACUGACGUGAUUUAUUUUAAAAUAAUUAACUUCUCCUUACUGCUGGACAUUUUCUGAAUAAAUUCAGCAGUUGUGAACUCUGGCAAGCUUAGAGGUUUGGAAAGAAUCAGUGGAAAUGUAACUUCAGUUCCAUUGCUUAGUCACAAUACUGUAAACCUAAGUCUGAGUUCAUCCUACCUAAUUUUGACACUUAGCACAGGUGAAGACCUAAAUGAAGAAUCUUGUCACCCUCUACUUCUUUGCACUCACUGCAGAAAGAUAAUCCUCCAGAUGGUAGAAACAAGUAUUUGUGGAAAUACCUUUCUCUUUUUCCACAGGUGAAUUGAGUGUUACUUCAAGUCCUAAA
ensembl:lncRNA